UGAGUACGAGAUGCUACGGCAUCGAAGCAGUCUAUGUCAUACUUCCAAGAAAAGCUUGCACUGUCAUAAACAAAGAAUGCCUGUACCAUAACCGACACAGGUGGGUAGGUAGAGUAUACUAAGGGGCGCGAGAUAACUCUCUCCAAGGAACUCGGCAAAAUGACUCCGUAACUUCGGGAGAAGGAGUGCCUUAUUUCUAAGGUUGCAAUAACAAGAUCCAAGCAACUGUUUACCAAAAACACAGGUCUCCGCUAAGUCGUAAGACGAUGUAUGGGGGCUGACGCCUGCCCAGUGCCAGAAGGUUAAAGAAGUUGGUUAGCAUUAGCGAAGCUGAUAACUGAAGCCCUGGUGAACGGCGGCCGUAACAAUAACGGUCCUAAGGUAGCGAAAUUCCUUGUCGGGUAAGUUCCGACCCGCACGGAAGGCGUAAUGAUUUGGAUACUGUCUCGGAGAGGGGCUCGGUGAAAUAGACUUGUCUGUGAAGAUGCGGACUACCUGCACCUGGACAGAAAGACCCUAUGAAGCUUUACUGUAACUUGAGAUUGAAAUUGGACUUUAUUUGCGCAGUAUAGGUGGGAGGCGUUGAGAAUAAUCUUGCGGGAUUGUUGGAGCCAUCAGUGAGAUACCACUCUUGUAAUGUUAGAUUUCUAACUUUGUAUCAUUAUCUGGUCAAAGAACAGUUUCAGGCGGGCAGUUUGACUGGGGCGGUCGCCUCCCAAAGGGUAACGGAGGCGCACAAAGGUUUCCUCUGAACGGGUAGAAAUCGUAUCUAGAGUGUAAAGGCAUAAGGAAGCUUGACUGUGAGACCUACAAGUCGAGCAGGGACGAAAGUCGGUCUUAGUGAUCUGACGGUGCUGAGUGGAAAGGCCGUCACUCAACGGAUAAAAGUUACUCUAAGGAUAACAGGCUGAUCUCCCCCAAGAGUUCACAUCGACGGGGAGGUUUGGCACCUCGAUGUCGGCUCAUCGCAUCCUGGGGCGGUAGUCCGUCCCAAGGGUUGGGCUGUUCGCCCAUGAAAGCGGUACGCGAGCUGGGUUCAGAACGUCGUGAGACAGUUCGGUCCAUAUCCGGUGUAGGCGUUAGAAUAUUGAGAGGAGCCUUCUCUAGUACGAGAGGACCGAGAAGGACAUACCUCUGGUGUACCAGUUAUCGUGCCAACGGUAAACGCUGGGUAGCUAUGUAUGGAGUGGAUAACCGCUGAAAGCAUCUAAGUGGGAAGCCCACCUCAAGAUAAG
rnacentral:rRNA from 1 species